AUGGCCAUCGGCACCCCGGCGUUCGCCCUCCUCUUCGCCGCCUCCCUCGCCGGCGUGGCCAACGGCGACAUCCCCUCGCUCGCCGCUGACCCCGCCACCGCCGCAUCCCCUCGCUCGCCGCCGACAUCUCUCCUGGCCUCUCUCUGUGGCGCUCUCUCUAGCCUCUCUUUGCCACUGGCCAUCUCCAUCGAGGCCGUCGGGAGCGAGGUCCUCGAGUCCGGGGACGCCCCCUCGCGGCCGUCGGCCGCCACCGUCGAACCUGCGCCCAGCCGCCGCACAGCGCCGGUCGCCGGCCUCGCCACGCCACCCCGCCCUUCCUGGUCGCCACGGCCACGGAGGGGGAGCCGCCUCCGCCGGCGAGCUCGCGCUCCUCGGCCCCGCCAGAGAGGCGCUCAUCACCGUGCGCAGCAGCCGUGUAGAGGCAGCGUCUCGUCCCGCGCGCAUCGGCGCUUGAGCACGGACGAGGAUGCCACCGCCGGGGAAGGGGUGGACUGGGAAGAGGAGCCGCUGGGGUUUGAGGUGUCGACGACGCCGAUACCCGAGCUGCCGGACCUGGAGAUGACGACUGGCCGUCCCCCGCCAGUGUCGUCCCCCCGCCGCCGCGUCGAACUGCCUCCACGGCCACGUCGGGGUGCACGACGGCCUUCUCUUCCACCGGCGCCGACGUCUCCGCCGAGUCGAGCCAGCGACACCGUCGGCUGCCUCCCCAUUCGGCGCCCGACCACCUCCUGCCUAGCGCUCCAUCGACGGUGCUCCCCGGUCGUCCCUCAACCCAUGCCACUGCAAUCGGACACCGCCCGCGUCGGCGCGCCGGCCGUCUCCACCGCGCCAAGCACCAGGCGCCGCCGUGCCCGGCCGUCGCCGCUUAUGUGCGCUCGCGCGUGGGAGAAAGGGGGAAGGAGCGAGAGGAAGAAACUGAAAGAAAGGGCAAUAGGGACAUUUUUUCUGCCCGGGCCCACAUGUCAGAGCUGCCAAACGGAUGAACCUUAACAGAAUAGUG
rnacentral:lncRNA from 1 species